rnacentral:sRNA from 1 species
AUUUAGUCACUUUUUAUUAAAAAUAACUAAAAAGUUUUAAACCUAUCAGGACACUUCCAUCAACAGUAUUUAAAAGAGAUAUUUAUUAUUAAAAUAAUACAAAGUGGUGAAAAGAAGAGAGAAGUGAGAAUCGUCUCUGUUUUCAGAAACUCUGAAAAAUGUUUAUGGCCACGUGUUUUUCCAGAAAUGAUUGAUUUUAUUCUUUUUAUUAAAAUUUAAUACUUUAUCUAAAUUCAAUUAAAAUAAGCAAUAUUUUAUUCAUGAGAAACUCUUUUUUGAGAAUCAACCGAUGUAGAUGGUCUCAUACUCUACUUUGUUGAUUGUGUUUAAGUUUCUGAGGAUUUUUCUACUUUCCGACGUUAUGCCAAGAGGCUGGUCUUCACUAGAAAA